UUGACCUCGGAUCAGGUAGGGAUACCCGCUGAACUUAAGCAUAUCAAUAAGCGGAGGAAAAGAAACCAACAGGGAUUGCCUCAGUAACGGCGAGUGAAGCGGCAAGAGCUCAAAUUUGAAAGCUGGGCCUUUCAGGUCCCGCAUUGUAAUUUGCAGAGGAUGCUUCGGGAGUGGCCCCUAUCUAAGUGCUCUGGAA
rnacentral:rRNA from 1 species